CUCUUGGAAAAGAGCGUCAUAGAGGGUGAGAAUCCCGUGAGUCGUUCGCCGUUUGUCACGUACGGUCUGCGUUCUAACGAGUCGCGUUCCUUGGGAUUGGAGCGUAAACGGGUGGUAAAUUUCAUCCAAAGCAAAAUAUAUACUCGAGACCGAUAGCACAAAAGUACCGUGAGGGAAAGGUGAAAAGAACUUUGAGAAGAGGGUUAAAUAGUGCCUGAAAUCGUUGAGAAGGAAGCGGAUGCCGCCGUUGCAUAUGCUGAUUGUAGGAUUGCUGCUCGCUCCUGUCUUCUGCUACUCAUUCACAGACCUGGUCGUGUUGAGCAGUUGUUUGGCAUAUGUUAGUGGUGUUUCCUACUUUCAGUCGUCAGCAUCACUGGCUGACUGGAAAUAAUCCUUGGAUGCUAAUUGGUUCGCUAUCUGUGAAUUGGUUGCUUCCUUGCGAUACUCACUACUCGGUCAGUGAGGAAGUGCGUUUGCUGGUCAACGAGCUUUCUAACUGUCAUUACCCUGCGCUUUUCGAUUCGUCGAGUGGCCAGGAUGUGGCUUUGAGAUUGUUCGCACUUAGUAAUCGCGAUGCUGGCUUCCAACGGUUGCCUCCGGCCCGUCUUGAAACACGGACCAAGGAGUCUAACGUAUGUGCGAGUGUGUGAGUGGCAAACUUAUACGCGUAAUGAAAGUGAGGCCGUAUGGCCAUGUUGGGGUCACCAACAACCGACCUUGAUCUUCGGUGAAAGGUUUGAGUAUGAGCAUAUCCGUUAGGACCCGAAAGAUGGUGAACUAUGCCUGAGCAGGGUGAAGCCAGGGGAAACUCUGGUGGAGGCUCGUAGCGAUACUGACGUGCAAAUCGUUCGUC
rnacentral:ncRNA from 1 species